rnacentral:rRNA from 1 species
AUUGAACGCUGGCGGCAGGCCUAACACAUGCAAGUCGAGCGAGCGGCGGACGGGUGAGUAAUGUCUGGGAACCUGCCUGAUGGAGGGGGAUAACUCCUGGAAACGGUAGCUAAUACCGCAUACCAUCAGAUGUGCCCAGAUGGGAUUAGCUAGUCGGUGGGGUAACGGCUCACCUAGGCGACGAUGCCUAGCUGGUCUGAGAGGAUGACCAACCACAAUGGAACUGCGACACGGUCCAGACUCCUACGGGAGGCAGCAGUGGGGAAGAUUGCACAAUGGGCGCAAGCCUGAUGCAGCCAUGCCGCGUGGGUGAAGAAGGUAUUCGGGUUGUAAAGCACUUUCAGAGGGGAGGCGUUACCCGCAGAGGAAGCAACGGCUAACUCCGUGCCAGCAGCCGCGGUAAUAC